rnacentral:rRNA from 1 species
UACAGAGGGUGCGAGCGUUAAUCGGAAUUACUGGGCGUAAAGCGCGCGUAGGCGGCUUGCAAGUCGAGUGUGAAAUCCCCAGGCUUAACCUGGGAACUGCAUUCGAGACUGCAUAGCUAGAGUAUGGGAGAGGGAAGUGGAAUUCAGGUGUAGCGGUGAAAUGCGUAGAUAGUCAAGCGGAACACCGGUGGCGAAGGCGGCCUGCUGGGCAGUGGCUGACACUGGAGGCGACGACAGCGUGGGGAGCAAACAGG